rnacentral:rRNA from 1 species
CACGGGGGGAGCAAGCGUUGUUCGGAAUCACUGGGCGUAAAGGGCGUGUAGGCGGUCAAGUAAGUGGAAUGUGAAACGCCUCGGCUUACCCGAGGACCUGCAUCCCAAACUGCUUGGCUUGAGUAUGGGAGAGGAUGAGGGAAUUCCUGGUGUAGCGGUGAAAUGCGUAGAUAUCAGGAGGAACACCGGUGGCGAAGGCGCACAUCUGGCCCGAUACUGACGCUGAGGCGCGAAAGCUAGGGGAGCAAAC